rnacentral:misc_RNA from 1 species
GAUGAAGAACGUAGCGAAAUGCGAUAAGUAAUGUGAAUUGCAGAAUUCAGUGAAUCAUCGAAUCUUUGAACGCACAUUGCGCCCGCUAGUAUUCUGGCGGGCAUGCCUGUUCGAGCGUCAUUUCAACCAUCAAGCCCCCGGCUUGCGUUGGAGCCCUGCGGCUGCCGCAGGCUCCCAAAUCCAGUGGCGGGCUCGUCGUCGUACCGAGUGCAGUAAACAUCCUCGCUCAGGGAACGUGACGGGUUCUUGCCGUGAAACCCCCCACAUAUCAAGGUUGACCUCGGAUCAGGUAGGAAUACCCGCUGAACUUAAGCAUAUCAAUAAGCGGAGGA